GACGAACGCUGGCGGCGUGCCUAAUACAUGCAAGUCGAACGCUUCUUUCCUCCCGAGUGCUUGCACUCAAUUGGAAAGAGGAGUGGCGGACGGGUGAGUAACACGUGGGUAACCUACCCAUCAGAGGGGGAUAACACUUGGAAACAGGUGCUAAUACCGCAUAACAGUUUAUGCCGCAUGGCAUAAGAGUGAAAGGCGCUUUCGGGUGUCGCUGAUGGAUGGACCCGCGGUGCAUUAGCUAGUUGGUGAGGUAACGGCUCACCAAGGCCACGAUGCAUAGCCGACCUGAGAGGGUGAUCGGCCACACUGGGACUGAGACACGGCCCAGACUCCUACGGGAGGCAGCAGUAGGGAAUCUUCGGCAAAGGACGAAAGUCUGACCGAGCAACGCCGCGUGAGUGAAGAAGGUUUUUGGAUCGUAAAACUCUGUUGUUAGAGAAGAACAAGGACGUUAGUAACUGAACGUCCCCUGACGGUAUCUAACCAGAAAGCCACGGCUAACUACGUG
rnacentral:rRNA from 1 species